AAACAAUGUCCACCCAAUCAAACAAUUCCAUCUGGAAUUGGAAAUAGGGUUUCUGACUCUCAUAGCCUUGAGGUUCUAGCUCAGCCCUCCAGUAAGAGCAGAGGUGGGGUCUAAAAAGCAUAACUGCUUGAAGAGGUAAUCAUUCAAUGUCAACUAUCAGAGGAUGCAGUAGGAAACCGAGUGAGGAGAGACAUCCCAGUCCUGUGCAUCAGCUUUUGCUGUUCAAUAUGCUUUUCUUUUAAGUGCUUCAAGAGAACUCUAGAGGAUGCAAGGGAACUCAUGUAAUGGUGAACAUAAGCAAGGGGGCUGCCCCCAAGCUCCCAGGGGCCCACCGGGGUGUGUAAUUGCCAACUUUUAGCUAGAAGAUUCAGAGAUUAACCUUUAAAAUAACUAUCUUUCUUUGUUUCUUUCAGACUUUUUUAAACUUCUGCUAACUUCACCAGGAGACACCCAGAGAACAUUGACCCAUUUUUAUUUAGGAUUCCUAACAUGGCCUUAAAACCCUCAUUUCUGUUUUCUGGGUGUGAAAAUACCAGAUCUAUAAGAAUUGUCUUCAGUGGGAGCACAAUAGGAUCCUUGUGAACACUCUGCAAAGGUUCUGUCACUUGCUCUCAAGUGUUUAGCCCAGCACAUCAGCUGUGAGCCAGAUGCUCAGUCUUUCUUGAAACAAAACACCAGAAACCUCAUCAGGCUGUUGUUUCAAAGCAGCUGUUAGCUUCAGGACCUCAGCUAACUUCUGCCUGCCGAGCCCACAGCUGGCCUUGGAUGCACUGGCUGCCUCUGGGAGUUCAACUUGUCCCUCUUCAGCCUAAGCAUCAAGGAGGAGCUGGUAAGAUUUAAUUUUUUUUUCUUUUGGUCCUGAUUGGAA
rnacentral:lncRNA from 1 species